rnacentral:lncRNA from 1 species
ACAGAUUAAGCAAAUGGAAUUUCAUAGAAUAGAAUUGAAAGAGAACGAAAUUAAAUUGAUAGAAUAAAAACCUCAAAGCCUUGGAAAUUCGGUUACAACAGAUUGACUCUAGAAGAUUAGUUCCUCUUCAUGAUCGUACGAAAGCAAAAAGUCAUUAUGAAUAAUGUGUCUUUUCUACAGAACCGCGGCUGCCCUUUUAAACAGAAUAAGGGUUUCACUAAUAAUUCAAACUGGGCCGGAAAACAUAAAUUCGGCCCAACAAAUGGUCCAAAAGAAAAUAUUUCCUAAAGUACGAAACUUCAACGAAUUAAUUGAGAUGUCUUCAUUCCUAAUCAGCUUUUGGCUUCAACAUAAAAGUUGUAGCUCUUUCUCUUAGCUUUCCAACGCUUGUUAGAACUUGCAAAAGGGCAUCCCGUAGCUCAAGUUAUGAUCCGAACAGUGGACAUGUAUCAAAUAACCGCUAAAACUGAAAAAUAGCAAACGAAAAUAGAUUAUAGGAAACCAUUAACUUAAAUCUAAAAACAUAAUAAAAUAGUAAAAUAAGCAAAAUAAACUAGAUAAAUGCCCAAAUACAAUUAUAGAAGAAUGUGUGUCAAAAUGCACUGAUCAAAUUCUCCCACACUUGAACUUUUGCACUCUGAGCAAAAUUACAAUUUCAAAACAAAAGGAAAGAAAACAGAGCAUGCACUUCUAAAAGUUUUCAAGAUACAAGGUAUAAGCAUAAUUCUAAGUUUAAGCUUCAAGAAUAUUGUGUUAGUAAGCAACUUUUUGUGACAUUCAAAGCAGAUAGAAAAACAGAUUACCAAAAAGUACAUCAACAGCGGUAAGAUCCUCAUAGGAUAUAAUUCACUCAACUCUCAAGUGUUUAGAUUAACUGUUUACACUCAAAGCACAACAUGAAAAUUAGUACUACCAUAAGCUUGAAAGGACUCUAACAUCCACAGUUGAAAUACAUGCACAAAAAGAUCAAAAGGACUUUUAUUUGGUUGUAACGUGGUCAAGGUAAGGGUGAGAUAAAUUCUAAGGGGUACUAGACUAAAACUCAAAGAGAUAAAAGAGACUUGAAAGAAACUGCGGGAGUUGAAUUUACAAAAUAUUUCAUUCACUUGAACAACUCUAUAGCAAUUGUUUUCUCUUCUCCUUCCUCUUUUUAUUCAUUUUUUUAAGGAGUAUGUAUUGACAUGUAUUAAAAUAUUACAAAAAUAAUUCCUUUUUUUCUUCCUCUUAGCCUUCUAUUUUUUUCUUCCUCUUAUCCUUCUAUUUUUCCAUUCCUUUUUUUUUCUAUUUUCUUUUUCUAUUUUUUUUCUUUUUCUGCCAACUUCUGAAAUAUUAUGAACAUUAUUAUUCAACCCCACACAACUCCAAACAAUACUCUUUCAACCCUUUGAAUAGGGUGAUAACAUUGUUUUUCACUUCUCGGCUUAUAAUGAGUUUUAAACAAAAAAGGGAGAAUAGGCUCAAGGGGGUUUCGAACAAGGGAUGAAAUUAUUUCAGGGUUGGCUUUUUGGCUAACUGGCUAAAAAAACAAAAACAAAAUUGUCUUUAUCAUAUCAGUGUGCAUAAGUAAACAACAACAUCAAUAAGAGUCAAUUCAAGUUCUAGAGACUAACAGACAUGAGUGAAUCAUACAAGAAAGAAAGAGAUGGAUUUUUGUAUGUUAUCCAUAUAAGGCUCAAAGCUCACCAGGGUUAAUGAUCUACUGCUAAAGAUAUACAAUUUAGAGUUUAUUGUAUGUUAUCCAUAUAAGGCUCAAAGCUCACCAGGGUUAAUGAUCUACUGCUAAAGAUAUACAAUUUAGAGUUUAGUCAUACCUAUCAUACUAAAAAUGCACAGCAAAUUUUUCACAUCACACCAUAAGACUUUAGUCAAGAGAACUAGAAAAAUACUCAUAAUUGUAACUCAAAAACCAAAGGAAAAAACAUGCAUUUUUUUAAGAAAGCAAACAAAACAAAUAAACGGUUCCCUCCCCCACACUUAAAACAUACAUUGUCUUCAAUGAAAGAGCAUAAAUAUAAAAUAAGAGUGAGAGAAAGGAAAAAACACACCCGAGGAGUCAAAGCGGAUAAGUGAUUGCAUAAGCAGCCUUUCUCAAAGAGAGUUAUUCUAUAGUCUCUGCUUCCAAAGUCGGAUUCUCAUGUAGUAGAUUUGGGUAGUGUCAAUUGACCUUAAAAUUUUUGAUUAGUGCAUUCGCCUUGUAUUCCAGAAUCAUAGAAGAAUCUUUGAUAAGUAAAAGUGUUGAAUGGGCACGUGAAAGUGAUCUCCUUUUUCACAACAUCAGGAAUCAAAGGAUUACAGGGUUGUAUCACUACUUUUGUUUCAUCUUUAAGCGAGAUCCUAUGCAUACAUAUGGAUGAACUAAUAUCACGAGUGUCAGUCAAGGUCCAUCCAAUUCCCUUCUUAUAUUUCUGCUUAAGUUGAAGCUUUGAUGAAUAAUAUGAAUCCUCGGGAAGUGGUUUAGGCUCUAAAGAAUGUGGUUGUUCAAUGCAUGGUAUGUUUGGGGCAACAAGGUCCAUCCAAUUCCCUUCUUAUAUUUCUGCUUAAGUUGAAGCUUUGAUGAAUAAUAUGAAUCCUCGGGAAGUGGUUUAGGCUCUAAAGAAUGUGGUUGUUCAAUGCAUGGUAUGUUUGGGGCAGCCGGAAUGUCAAGAGCUUCAGCCACAUAAACAACUUUGUUUAUACUAUCACCCUACAAGGCAACAUCAAUCUCAACAUAAAUAACACAAAGGUUAGUGUCAGUAUAAUCAUCACAUGAAUAAACAUCAUCAAACCCAGAUAGAGAUGGAAAAUCAAGUGAAAACAAUUCAGAAAAAGUGUCAUCAACCGACUCAGAGAUCAAUUCAAUAUGAAAAACAGAAUGCUCUUCCAAGGGAUGUUUCAUGGCAUCGUCGACAUCAAUUUUUGUUUUCGCUGUUUUCAUGAAUGGUCUGCCUAAAAUGAUAAGCGUUCUGCUUGAAUUUGUUUCUCCAUACAUGUUCAGAGUGUAGAAAUCUGCAGGAAAAAUCAAGUCAUUAACUUGAACAAGCACAUCUUCCACUACUCCACUAGGGCGAGCAUUACUUUUGUUCGUUAGUUGAAUGAUUAAACUUGUAUGCUGUAAAGGACCAAGAUCAAGGUUAUUAUAAACAGAAGUAGGCAUAACAUUAAUUCCUGCUCCCAAAUCAAGCAUGCAAUUGUCGAAUUUACUAUCCCCAAUGGUACACAGAAUAUCAAAAGUUCCUGGAUCCUUGCACUUUUGGGGUAUGGCCUGAUUGAGGGAUGAAACAAUAGCUUUUUCAGGUGAGUGUUUAGGCUGGAUAAGGGCUGAAAUGUUUCGUCCCAAAUUUACUCUCUCAUUACCCUUCAACCUUUUCUUACUUGUGCACAAGUCUUUUAGAAAUUUUGCAUACUUUGGAACCUGCUUAAUAACAUCAAGAAGCGGAAUGUUUACCGCCACUUUUCUGAACACAUCUAAAAUCUCUCUCUAUCAACCUUUUCUUACUUGUGCACAAGUCUUUUAGAAAUUUUGCAUACUUUGGAACCUGCUUAAUAACAUCAAGAAGCGGAAUGUUUACCGCCACUUUUCUGAACACAUCUAAAAUCUCUCUCUCCUUCUCUCCAUCACCAGUCCUUUUAUUUUUCAGUAUUCUAUGUCGGAAGGGAACUGGUGGCGCAUACUCCUUCUCUUUUUCUUUUUCAGUUUCUACCACAACAAAGGGUUCAGUUUCUAUCACAAUGGAAGAAGGUUCAGGUGUUACCUCAAGAAUUUUUUUUAUUUUUUCCUGGGGUUGGUUCUGUUACCUUCUCGGAUCUCAAAGAAAGUACACUCACAUUAGCAUUAGGGCCUCUUGGAUUCACAACUGUUUGGGCAGGAAGUUGGUUUGAUCCUUGGGCUUGCUGCAUAGCAUUCAUCGAAGUGGCAAGCUGUCCAAUUUGUGUUUGCAAAGUCUGAAUACUGGAAUUUGUUCGUUGCUAAAAUUGGAGAUUGUUAACAGUUAUUUGUUUGACAAGAUCCUCCAAUGAAGGUCCAGAAGGUGCAGAGGUGGAGACUUGGGGAGUGGUAUGUGGUUGUGGCAGGGGUAUGACUAAUUAUUGUUGGGUGGGCUGCUGGUUUCCAUAUCGAAGGUUUGGAUGGUUCCUCCAAUUGGGAUGAUAUUUGUUGGUGGAAAAGUCAGGAAUGUUGUACCCUCUCUGAUUAUUGCUUUGGUUGAAAAAGUUAGUUGCAUAUGCUUGAGGCAACUGAGUGACCGAAUCAUCUUGAAGAAUAGGACAUGUGUCAGUUGGAUGUUCAGUAGAAGUACAAAUACCACACAACUUUGUUGUUUGAGGUUUGCUCACUGCCAUUUGUUUCACUAAAGAAGUAAGCUCUUCAAUUCUGGUUUCUAAAGCCUUGUUGGAAGAGGAAACCUGAAUGUCAUUCACACCUUUUGUUUGGACCAUAGAAUUAUUUCUGGUUGUGAAUUGUUGGGAGUUGAGUGACAUGUUCUCAAUCAGGGCUUUAGCAGCAACUGGAGUUUUAUCGACAAGUGCUCCACCAUUAGCAGCAUCAAGAAUGUUUCUAUCUAUUGGUAACAAUCCCUCAUAGAAAUACUGAAUAAGUAGUUGUUCGAUAAUUUGAUGUUGAGGGCAACUGGAUACUAAUUGUUUGAAUCUCUCCCAAUACUCAGUCAAUGACUCAUUUCCCUGUCUAAUACCAUAUAUUUCUUUUCGGAUUGAUGCAGCCCUGGAGGCAGGAAAGUAUCUCUCUAGAAAGACUCUCUUCAAAUCAUUCCAAGUCGUGACAGAAUUCAACUCAAGAUAAUAUAACCAAUCAUUGGCAACACCUUGUAGUGAAAACGGGAAGGCUCUCAACUUUAUGUGAUCUUCGGUGAUUCCUUCAGGUCUCAAUGGUGUAAAACAAACAACCUGAAAUUCCUUAAGAUGCUUAUGCGGAUCCUCACCUGCAAGACCACUAAACCUUGGCAACAAGUGUAUUAAACCAGAUUUCAACUCAAAAGGAACAGUAACAUCAACAUAUUCAAUACAUAAACCAUUGUAUUCACUAUCAGUGGAGCAGAAGUUCUCUCAGGUCUUUUGGUCAGCCAUAUUAAACUCAAUAGAAAAAAAAAUCAACAAACAAUGAGAAAACACAUAACUAAUUCAGCAAUGCAGCAACAAAUAGGAAAAUACCGACAAUGUCCCUAUUAAGAACAAACAAUUGAAAUACGUAAAAAAACUAUUAAAAUAAAAGGAAAAAAAAUACAAAAACACAAAAAUUAGUCUAAUAACGUCAAUUAAAAUUUUUGAGAUUUUUUUCGGAAUUUUCUGAAAUUAUCAAAAUAGAAAAAAAAUAGAAAAAUAAGGAAUUUCGGGUUUUUAGGAUGACUUCCACUAUUUAGUUCUUAAAUAGAGGCUUUUGAUCAUUGAUUUUUUCCUAGUUAAUCAACAAAGAAUCGUAAUAAUUUGAGAUGACUUUCUUAAAAAAACAUUUUUUUUAUCCUAAAACGCAAAAACAGCAGAACACAUGAAAGUUAGGGCAAACAAAUGUUAAAACACAACACAUAUGACUAUAAUAAUAGUUAGACUAUGAUAAUGGUUAAAAUCUACAAGAAUCCUCGACAACGACGCCAAUUUGAUCCGCUGUCGCACACGGGUCAAAACGAGUAAUUAGAAAACUGUAGUUUAGCGGAAGCGACAACUCGAGUAUCGUAUCGCAAGGAUUCUUGUAUUAUUCUUAACCUAAUGAAAUCGAUUUAGGGGGGUUUAUGUUUAGUAGUCGAUUUAGAAAACAAAGCAAAAUAAUGAUUAAAAUAAGAGAUUAUAAAAUAAGUCAAUCUACUAUUUUCGGUUUCCGGCUAAUCAAUGGUUUUUACCUACCAAUUCCCUAAGCGGCUUCGAUCUCUAUUCAAUUCAAAUUCAAUUGACAAGCGCAAUAGAUAUAUGACAAAUUUAUAUUCCUAUAUUCCAAAUUAAGCAAACGGAUAAAUACAAUCGUGAAUUAAACAAACACGAUUUACAAACGCAAUUUAACGACAAAGCGACGAUUAAUAGUUAGGAAUGCAAUCAUACAAAUUUAAUCAAAACCAUUCCAUAAAAUACAGAUUAAGCAAAUGAAAUUUCAUAGAUAUCUUAACUUUCUCUUGCUUUAAUUUAACUAUCUUAUUUAACCUCAAAGCCUUGGAAAUUCGGUUACAGCAGAUUGACUCUAGGAGAUUAAUUCCUCUUCAUGAUCGCACAAAAGCAAAAAGUUAUUAUGAAUAAUGUGUCUUUUUCUACAGUACAGCGGCUGCCCUUUUAAACAGAAUAAGAGUUUCACUAAUAAUUCAAACUGGGCCAGAAAACCUAAAUUCGGCCCAACAAAUGGCCAAAAAGAAAAUAUUUCCUAAAGUACGAAACUUCAACGAAUUAAUUGAACAAUUAUAUAAAAGAAAAUAUUUCCUAUGUACGAAACUUCACUCCGAAUCAGCUUUUGACUUCAACAUAAAAGUUGUAGCUCUUUCUCUUAGCUUUCCAACGCAUGUCAGAACUUGCAAAAGGGCAUCCCGUAGCUCAAGUUAUGGUCCGAACAGUGGACAGAUAUCAAAUAACCACUAAAACUGAAAAAUAGCAAACGAAAAUAGAUUAAAGGCAACCAUGAACUUAAAUCUAAAAACAUAAUAAAAUAGUAAAAUAAAAAAAAUAAAUUAGAUAAAUGCCCAAGUACAAUUAUAGAAGAAUGUGUAUCAAAAUGCAUUGAUCAACGGUAAACUACCCCUACCCCAUAGCUUGCCCGAAACGGUUAGAGGACACCAAUUAUAUAGCUUUUCAUCAUCACUCUUCAAGGAGGAGGAAAAUCACAAUUCACAAACACACAAUAAUUCACUCUUAUCACUACAGAAUGACAACCAUUAUUGUUCAUCACCACCUUCAAUCAUCAGAUACAGAACAUUCUGUAGAACCCUCUCAAUUCUACCACCCUAUAAAUCGGCAACAAUAAUUCAUAAUCAUUCAUCAACCACAAUCACACAUAGCAACAAGAACAACACCAAGCAGCAGCAUACACCUACAGACUAAGAGACUGAAGAAGAAGGAGGAUUUGUGACAGAAAAAGGUUGAGAUUCGAAGCUUCUUACCUCAGUAGAGCCUUUGGUGUUAUUGCUUUUGUGAAGCCAAGCUUCUCUACGAUGAAGGUAUUUCGAUGAAGACAAAGCUCCAAAUGACAAGAAUGCAAAGAUGUUAUUCAAAGAUAAAGCAUCAUGAUUCAAGAAUUUAAGUUAUUGCAUUUCAAGAAGGUAUAAUGAUAAUAUUUAUCUUCACUAAAGUCUUAGAUGCUCAAGUAUUCAAACAAUCAUUGCUUAACUUUUUCUUGUGCAUGGCAAAUGUCUUAGGCUUAUAUUUUUCAUGUUUAUAACUAAGUAAACCGAUUUACCUUUAGUGAAAUCGAUUUACCAUUGAAGCCUAUACAUUUCCAAAUGCAAAGAAUUAAUUUUUCAAUUGGGUAAAUCGAUUUACUUCUUAUGGAAAUCGAUUUCUUACGGUAAAUUUUUGAAAUAUUUUUUAAACGUUGCCAUAGGGAAAUCAAUUUAUCCACUAUGUAAGUCGAUUUACCUCUGUGCAUUUUAGAAAAAUCAAUAGUUUUACUAACACCUCUUCAUGCAUCACUUUAUGGAAUCAUUUCAUUUCAACUUGACAAUUGUUCAUGAUAUUUUUCAUACAUUUACCAUGAUUCAUUAGAGGUGUUAUGCACAUAUAAAUACAUGAUUUUUCAAAUUCAAAAAUGACAUCUUCCAAUCAAAACUUUUAGAAUUUUCAGAAUUCACAUUUCUUGUUGUAAACUUUUAUUCAAGAUAUUUUUUGCAUAUUUUCACAUCACUCAAAUCAGAAAAUACUUGAGCAAUUUAACACCUUUGUGUUUGUGACUUUUUGUCAUUGGAAGAGAAGAUCAAGUACAUUGAUAUAUCACUUAGUGUGAUAAUUAUACUACAAACUUUACACUCAAAAACUAUUGUUGUAAUCCAUAUCUUAUUUUUCAGAAUUGUUGAAAAUAAGAUGGUUUGUUUUGUAUUGCUUAUGUUUUUCCAGAAUUGUUGCAAACAAGUGCGUGUGCAAGAAAAGAGAGGAUUGUUUUCUUUUCUUGUGGUGAUAGUUUUCAAGAGGAUUGUUCUUGAUAAUUUGGUUAGAGUCUUGGUAGGAAGAGCUAACAAUAAAAAAUCUCUUACAUGUGGUAAGGGGACUAGACGUACCUUCGGAUUGUGAAGGGAACUAGGAUACAUCUCGGUGUUCUUUAUUUUUCGCAUUUUAUCGCUUUCAUUGUCUAACCAAAAAAAAAGGAAGAACAAAUAUUCAUAAAAGUCCGAGAAUUUUUAAAGUCCUAAUUCACCCCCCACUUACAAUUGGUAUAAGAGCAGGUUAUAGGUAACCUACUCCUAAAAGAUCCAAAUGGCUUCCGCAAACUAAAAUCCUAUUUUUGGAGACGGUGGCAGCAAUAACAAUCCCCCACUAUUUUAUGGAGAAUAUUUCAAUUUUUAGAAAAUACACAUGAAGGCGCAUCUAGAGUCUCAAGGAAAAUAUGUUUGGAAAGUUAUCCUAUAAGGUCAUUUCGUUCCUACUACAGUUGUUAAUGGCAUUGGCAUUUCUAAGCGUGAAGCAUCAUGGGAUGAAGAUGAUGAGAACAAGGUUCUUUAUGACAAGAAAACAAUAAAUCUUCUUCAAGGUGCUCUUGGCAUGAAUGAGUUCUUUCGCAUUUCAACAUGUACAUAGGCAAAAGAAAUAUGAGAUAUUUUGGUUGAAACACAUGAAGGAACCGCAUAAGCUAAAAGAUCAAGAUUGAAUACGUUAAAUCAAGAAUACAAAUUAUUCUGAAUGCAGCCCGGAGAAUAAAUUCUCGACUUGCAGAAAAGAUUUGUGCAUUUGACGAAUCACUUGAAAAUACACGGUAAGACUUUAACUAAAAAUGAACUUAAUCUUAAAAUACUCAGAUCUUUAACUAGGGAAUGACAACUGAAAGUGACAGUGAUAUCCGAAAAGAAAAAUCUAUCAACGAUGACGUCCGCAACAUUGUUUGGUAAACUCCAACAAUAUGAGGCGGAACUUGGUAGACUUAAAAAACAUGAGAAUCUAGACAAGAAAUCCAAAAGCAUUAUCUUAAAAGUUGAUUCAAAAGAAGUUAAAAAAGAAGACAACCCGGAGGAAGACGAUAACUUCAUGCUUAUUGUAAAAAGGUUAGGUAAAUAUUUUGGUACUAAUGAAAAGUCUAACUUUGCAAGAAAGAAGAAAUAUUUUAACAAGAAGGAAACAUCUAUGUCUACUCAAAACAUCACUUGCUAUGAAUGUGGAAAGCAUGGACAUAUAAAGACGAAUUGUCCAAAACUCAACAAAAGAAAUGAGUAAAAAUCUAAAAGAGUCUACAUUGCAUGGGAAGAUAAUGAAGUGAGUUCAUCUUCCGAUUCCGAAAAUGAAGAAUGUGUUAAUCUUGCAUUGAUGGCUGCAUGUCAUUCUGAUGAUGACGAAGAAGAGGUUAGUAAUGAAACAUAUUCUCAUAAUGAUACCCAAGGUGCUAUUUAUGAACUUCUUAAUGAAUGUAAGAUUUUGUAUAAAACGCUGUCACCACAAAAGAAACAAAUCUUAUCUCUUGAAGAAAAGAUUGACACCAUGGAAAAGAAUUUUGAAGUUGAAAAAUAAAACUUUCUUGAAAAAGAAAAGUAAGAUCUUACAUGCAAAAAUUGUGAUUCACUUACUUGCCAAAUUGUUCAAUUAAAAAGAGUUCUUGAAAGAUAUGAAAAAGGACAAGUUAGAUUGGAAAAUGUUCUUAGUCAACAAAGAUAUUCAAAUGAUAAAAGCGGUCUUGGUCAUUCUAAGUUCAACAAACCAAGUACUAAUGAAACCAUCUUUGUUAAGGCAAGUGACCAAUCCAACAAGGAAAAAUUGAAUAGAGCAUAAAAACUUCAUCAACAUCCUAAGAAGAGAUUUCCUAAAAAUAAAUCAUAUGUUCCUAGGUAUAGAAGUACUUUUGUGCCUACAUGAUUUUAUUGUGGUAUAAAUGGCCAUACACCUAAUGUCUGCUAUGUUAGAAACUUUAGUAUGGCAAGUGAGCAUUAUGUGUGGGUUAAGAAAGAUACUAAUUAUGAAGGACCCAAGGCAUAUUGGAUACCUAACAAAACAUAAUUUGUUUUGUAGGUAUGUUUGAAGACCACUUCAAAUCUAUGGUAUCUCGAUAGUGGUUGUUAGAAACAUAAUCAUGUUCAACUGCAGAUAAACAAAACACAAAAAAUAGUGAAAUUCCAAAUUGAGUCCAGAGUGAAAUUUCAGUUAAUUAACACAACAAACAAACAUCUCCACGCUUCAUAAUUAAUUGAUUUUAAUUCUAACUUGAUUUCAUCUUUCACCAUAAUACUUCUAAUUUAAUCAACCUAAUGACAAAACUUAUUAACUUAAAACCGAUUUCACUAACAACUAACUUUCAUCAUAGUUAACUAACUUCAGUUCCAUUCUAACAGGUAAUUGAAUUCCAAACUCUAACCUCCAUUCAACUAACAUUAACAAAAACACUAAUAUUGUCAGUUAACUUCUAACUAACUUUCCUCUUCAAUUACUAACCAUCUAAUUCUGCCCUAACGGUUAACUACCCCUGCCCCAUAGCUUGCUUGAAACGGUUAGAGGACACUCAUUAUAUAGCUUCUCAUCAUCACUAUCCAAGGGGAGGAAAAUCACAAUUUACAAACACAUAAUCAUUCACUCUCCUCAAUGCAGAAUCACAACCAUUAUUGUUCAUAAUCAUAACCACCUCCAAUCAUCAACGACAGAACAUUCUGCGGAAUUUUCUCAAUUCUACCAACCUAAAAAUCAGUAACAACAAUUCAUAAUCAUUCAUCAACCACAAUCACACAGAGAAACAAGAACAACACCAAGCAAUAUCAUACACCUAUGGACUAAGAGCAUGAAGAAGAAGGAGGAUUUGUGACAGAAGAAGGUUGAGUUUCGAAGCUUCUUACCUCAGUAGAGCCUUUUGUGUUCUUGCUUCGACUUCAUCUUCUUUGUUGCAACAAAUUUCGGGAUAAGCCAUGGUCUCGUAGGUCGGCAUUUGAUUUUCCUUUCCUUUCCCUUUGCUCCAAAUUCCUUUACCCGCAAUGUAGCCCUGCGUAACCUGAACCAAACCCCUAAGGUGUGGGUUCAGAUUGAAGCUCCAACCAUUUAAUUUCACUUUUCAUAGCUUAGGGUUCUUGAUUUUAGUUGAUUAUUUUGGUGGAUAUAAGGAAAGUUUGGCAAGAUAAUAGAAGAGAGGAUAAAGCAAGGAUCAUUUUGGUGGCAGUUAUUUGCGUUUUGGCUUAACUCUGCCUCUGGCACGGCGGAGUGGCGGUUUCCGACAAAGGAAUUUGAGAUAAGGGAGGGAGAGCUUAAGCGGAUAAUUGAAAGUAGGAAUUCCUGAUGGCAUUUCCCUAUAA